rnacentral:rRNA from 1 species
GAUGAACGCUGGCGGCGUGCCUAAUACAUGCAAGUCGAGCGAACAGACGAGGAGCUUGCUCCUCUGACGUUAGCGGCGGACGGGUGAGUAACACGUGGAUAACCUACCUAUAAGACUGGGAUAACUUCGGGAAACCGGAGCUAAUACCGGAUAACAUGUUGAACCGCAUGGUUCAACAGUGAAAGACGGUCUUGCUGUCACUUAUAGAUGGAUCCGCGCCGCAUUAGCUAGUUGGUAAGGUAACGGCUUACCAAGGCAACGAUGCGUAGCCGACCUGAGAGGUUGAUCGGCCACACGGGAACUGAGACACGGUCCAGACUCCUACGGGAGGCAGCAGUAGGGAAUCUUCCGCAAUGGGCGAAAGCCUGACGGAGCAACGCCGCGUGAGUGAAGAAGGUCUUCGGAUCGUAAAACUCUGUUAUUAGGAAGAACAAAUGUGUAAGUAACUAUGCACGUCUUGACGGUACCUAAUCAGAAAGCCACGGCUAACUACGUG